ensembl:lncRNA
UCUACUCCACCUGCAGGCAGUGUCUGGCCUUGUAAUGUGAUUCAGAGCAUCACUGUGCUGUUUGGUUCCCUGGUAUUAGCAGUACCCAGAGGAAGCAGCAGCUAAACUCCAGGUCACUGAUAGGCAGUAACAGGCCAACACGUACACUGAUCUUCAUCAGAGAUUUGCAUUGCUGUUUGUUAUAAAAUAUACAUCAAAUCUUAGCUGCAUGAGACAUAACCCACAGUGCUGUUUUCCUUAUUGCUUGGUGUGGUGCUCCCAGAAUGGUCUGCUCAAAAACUGUCUGCAGUGGUGUACCCAUAACAGCCGGUUACCUAUUAGACAGUAUUGCAAGUAUUCCUAAGAUUCCCUUUUAAGAGGACCUCAUUAAAGCUGCAUGUGGAAAAAUGGUCUGAAAUUGCCAUCAUAACCACCACAAUCAAAUUAUAGCAAUCUGCUUUUUUCCAAAUGGUUCACAGCAGACUCAAGUUGAAGUGUGCAGGAGGCAAAGCACUGCACAUGGCAACGACCUCGUGUAUCUUGCAUCACAGAUCAGAGAUAUUUACUUUUUCUCAGCUACGUGACCCUGAAUUAGCAGCUACAGUGGCACAAGCACCAUUGCUAUGGUUACUGUCACAUAAUGUCAUCUUUCUGAGGCUCCAAAGCCACUUACAGGUGUGAGAGGUCAGUCAGUAAUGAUUUCAGUAUAGAAGUGCAAUACUUUUGUCUGAGAAAGGGUGACGAGAAAGGCAGCAGGGGUUAAACCCAAAGAAGCAAACAAAGUGGUGGAAAGCAAAGACUGGCAAUGAGUACAUUUCCUGCCACACCAGAAGAUAUCGAUCCUUGUGUGUCAUCUCAGUUCUCCUGGCUUGCUGAGUGCUUCUGAGUACAAACACAGAACCAACAUCCCUCAGGAGAUUGCAAACUUUUUAGGGAACUCAAAAGGUAAGCUGAAUGGGUUUAUCUUUGUUUUCUAACAAAGAAAUGGGAAAGAAAUAGAGGAGCUAUUUGUUUUCAGUGCAAGCUUCCUACUAAACUGUCUCCUGCUCUCAUACCCCAUUUCUCAGACAGGGUCAGUGCAUGGAGGUUGAGACAUGCUGAAUCAAAGCUCUUCUGACCCUGGAAAGUUCCCUGGUCUUGCAAAAAGGACUUUCAUUUUCCACUUCUGAGAAAGACCCAUUAAACUGUAGUAAAUUUCUCUCUGGUUGAGUCUUGAUUUUGCCUCAAGUUUGAGAUGGACAGCAGCUGGUGUACUUCCUUGGAGGUAUUUUAGAGAUGGGACUGAUGCUAAUUCAUUAUUAACAUUAACCUGUGAGGAAUUGCUGUGUCCUUCUUGCUGGACCUUGUCUUCUUGAACCACAUUCAAGCAGAUGCACCAGGAGGAUUGGCCCAACAAGUCCAUUAGCAGUUGAGCAGCAGGUGGCCAGUGUGAGAUGAGACUGAUGGCCAUGCACAGGAGAGCUCUGCCUGUUGAGAUGACCAGUGCACAGACUGGGGCUAGAUUUCUUACUUAUACAUGAGACACUGUUGUCUUCUUAUGUGCCAUUGUUUUCUUUGUUACCUUCCCUUUCCCCAGAGCAAGCGCCGCAGAUGUUGGAAAAGAGAGUGGAGUUGGUCUGAUUUUGCUUCUCUUUUAGGAAAGCCAGUUCAUGCUUUGCCUAGCAGAUUUCUGUGAGUGAAGAUCCUUGCUUCUCUUUCUUGCUUCUCCUUUUUUUGCUUAUUGGCUUUGAGUUUCUGCGCAACUAGUAAGAGGCAGCCUAUUAAGGUUUGGAUUUGCCCAUUAAAUGAGAGGGUAGUGUAUACCCUAUCUCCUUUCUCACUUCAUGUCACUGAGCUGAAGGAGCACAGCAACAUUUUGCUGUCUGAAUCAACAGACACUAUUUCACAAACGUUCAUUCAAAGUGCAGCAAUAGCAAAAGCUUGAGUGUCAUGUUAUUUGCAAAUUUUUGUUUGUUUGUUUUUGCCUGUUCACAACUCGUGCCUCAAGGAUCACAAGUCUCCAGGGCUGGCUCUUUCACUGGACUAUUCAGUAGAAUGAGUAAUGCUUCCCUCUUUGCCUCUUUUUUUUUCCUUCUCAAAAGGUAAUUUUGGUUUAACUGGUUUAGCUGCCUUUGUCUUUUGAGCAGAACUGAUAUUGCUUUAUUGCAACUGUGUGUACAAGUCUCCUAAGGGGAUCCUAAAGAUCCACAGAGGCCACGUUCCUCUUUAGAAAACAAGCUGACUCCUGAAAGCUAUUAUCAGGAAUGUCAGAAGGCCAACAUUGGUGGGUGUGUGUG